rnacentral:rRNA from 1 species
GACGAACCGUGCGAACGUUGUUCGGAAUCACUGGGCUUAAAGGGCGCGUAGGCGGGCUGUCCAGUCUGGGGUGAAAUCCCGCGGCUCAACCGUGGAACUGCCUCAGAUACUGACGGCCUCGAGGGAGAUAGGGGCAUGCGGAACUGUAGGUGGAGCGGUGAAAUGCGUUGAUAUCUACAGGAACUCCGGUGGCGAAGGCGGCGUGCUGGAUCUCUUCUGACGCUGAGGCGCGAAAGCUAGGGGAGCAAACGGGAUUAGAUACCCCGGUAGUCCUAGCCCUAAACGAUGGGUACUAGAUAGUAGAUGAGAUAUGCGUUUACUGUCGAAGCUAAAGUGCUAAGUACCCCGCCUGGGGAGUAUGGUCGCAAGGCUGAA